rnacentral:rRNA from 1 species
UACGAAGGGGGCUAGCGUUGUUCGGAAUCACUGGGCGUAAAGCGCACGUAGGCGGAUCUUUAAGUCAGGGGUGAAAUCCCAAGGCUCAACCUUGGAACUGCCUUUGAUACUGGGGAUCUCGAGUCCGGAAGAGGUUGGUGGAACUGCGAGUGUAGAGGUGAAAUUCGUAGAUAUUCGCAAGAACACCAGUGGCGAAGGCGGCCAACUGGUCCGGUACUGACGCUGAGGUGCGAAAGCGUGGGGAGCAAACAGG